UGCAGAAAUCUAUCCAGGACUGACGGGUGU
rnacentral:piRNA from 1 species